GCUGGAUGCAGUGGCGCACGUCUGUAAUCCCAGUGACUCAGGAGGCUGAAGCAGGAGGAUUGCAAGUUUGAGGCCAGCUCCAGCAAUUU
rnacentral:sRNA from 1 species